rfam:Human gut metagenome DNA, contig sequence: In-D_008324.
CCUGUUAUUCCAUUAGCAGUAGUCUACUGUCAACAAAGCGGCUGGUAACGGCUGUGAGGAAGCGUGACAGGACAAGGGUAGCCCCACCCGAAAAGGUUCAAGCUGAAACUGCGAGGUGAAAGCGAUAAGCUGCAAGCAACAAUGCGGUUGGGGAG